rnacentral:pre_miRNA from 1 species
UUUAGGAGAAUGACAAAUCAGAUUUUUUUUCUUAUAAUUUUCAGUUUUUUUCUCUUGAAAAAAUUUAAAUUCUACUAAAAAUGCUAAAAAUCAAGAGGAAAAAUCUGACAUUUGUCAUUCUCCUAUU